UACAGAGGGUGCGAGCGUUAAUCGGAAUUACUGGGCGUAAAGCGUGCGUAGACGGUUAUCUAAGUCGGAUGUGAAAGCCCCGGGCUCAACCUGGGAAUUGCAUUCGAGACUGAAUAGCUAGGGUACGGUAGAGGGAAGUGGAAUUUCCGGUGUAGCGGUGAAAUGCGUAGAUAUCGGAAGGAACACCAGCGGCGAAGGCGGCACUCUGGGCUGGAACUGACGCUGAGGAGCGAAAGCGUGGGUAGCAAACAGG
rnacentral:rRNA from 1 species